UGCAUAUCAAAAAGCGGAGGAAAAGAAACCAACAGGGAUUGCCUUAGUAGCGGCGAGUGAAGCGGCAAAAGCUCAAAUUUGAAAUCUGGCGCCUUCGGUGUCCGAGUUGUAAUUUGAAGAUUGUAACCUUGGGGUUGGCUCUUGUCUAUGUUUCUUGGAACAGGACGUCACAGAGGGUGAGAAUCCCGUGCGAUGAGAUGCCCAAUUCUAUGUAAGGUGCUUUCGAAGAGUCGAGUUGUUUGGGAAUGCAGCUCUAAGUGGGUGGUAAAUUCCAUCUAAAGCUAAAUAUUGGCGAGAGACCGAUAGCGAACAAGUACAGUGAUGGAAAGAUGAAAAGAACUUUGAAAAGAGAGUGAAAAAGUACGUGAAAUUGUUGAAAGGGAAGGGUUUGAGAUCAGACUCGAUAUUUUGUGAGCCUUGCCUUCGUGGCGGGGUGACCCGCAGCUUAUCGGGCCAGCAUCGGUUUGGGCGGUAGGAUAAUGGCGUAGGAAUGUGACUUUACUUCGGUGAAGUGUUAUAGCCUGCGUUGAUGCUGCCUGCCUAGACCGAGGACUGCGAUUUUAUCAAGGAUGCUGGCAUAAUGAUCCCAAACCGCCCGUCUUGAAACCACGGACC
rnacentral:rRNA from 1 species